rnacentral:lncRNA from 1 species
CAAGAGAGGAGGAGGAGAGAAGCUGGAGGAGGAGAGAAGCUGGAGGAGAAGAGAAGCUGGAGGAGGCCAGUGGGCAACAACUGGAGGCCUAACCCGAGCGUGGGGCCGUGGGGCCAGAGACCCAGGAGAGGACGCCGGAUGGUUGCGUCACUCAGGAUAUGUCCCAAGUGUGCAGAAGAAAAACAAAUUGGGGCUCAGAAAAGUUGACAUUCUCACUUCACACCAUCGGGUCGAAGCCCGCAAGCCCCUGAACUCCGAGCUCUCUCUCCGGGAGUCGGGACGGCCCUGGACCUGCUGCUGCUGGCGUGAGGAGAAAUGAAGAGCUCCGCACCAGUCCUGCCCGGAAGCACGGGGGGAGGGGCAGAGAAUUUCCCUGCCCCCUCUCUACUGACUCCGCCCCUUGAGCGUCUGACCCGGCCAUUUUAAAACACCUUUCCAAGAUGGGUGCCUGGGGUUUCCAUAGUGAUGCUAAACAAGCCUCUCCUGCCUGGUCCACACCUGCAACGACCCCACUGGCCCCCAAUCUAACUUUGUCAUCAGGAGCGAUAGUUCAGAUGUGCAGGUUUGAUGAGCUGACACGCGGAGAGAUGCAGCCCUAAGGCGGGGGCCGGGCCUGGGAAAGGGACAGGUGUGGCUCAGUGGUCCGCCACUGUCGACCAGGACCAGGACCUGGGACAGCCACGACUGGGAACAGAGGGGGUUGGGGCCUCAAGAACAGAUUAAACUUGCAAGGAUUUUUUUCUCGGGGGACAUGCCUGCGUGAAAAGGGUGGGAGGUAAAAAGGGAGGUGGGAUCUAUGAGAGGCUGGGAGAGCCGUCAGACCUCGACGUGAGUCUCAUCCCCAGUGGGGCAGAGAGGGGAAGAUGGGAGGGAGUACCCUAGACAGUGGUUCCGUCUAAGAAAGUUCGGCAGAGCCUGUAGGACGUCUUUGAAACAAAGUCAGGCAACAAAGUAGUUCUGGUCUCCCGGCAAGAAAUCUGCCCUGGGACGCCCACCGGGCAGGGCGGAGG